ACAAAGUAAGCUAAAUUUUAAAGCUAGUGGGUUCAUACCCCAAAAAUGAUUCAUUCCUUUGUUA
rnacentral:tRNA from 1 species